UACGUAGGGUGCGAGCGUUGUCCGGAAUUAUUGGGCGUAAAGGGCUCGUAGGCGGUUUGUCGCGUCGGGAGUGAAAACUCAGGGCUUAACCCUGAGCCUGCUUCCGAUACGGGCAGACUAGAGGUAUGCAGGGGAGAACGGAAUUCCUGGUGUAGCGGUGAAAUGCGCAGAUAUCAGGAGGAACACCGGUGGCGAAGGCGGGUCUCUGGGCCGAUACUGACGCUGAGGAGCGAAAGCGUGGGGAGCGAACAGG
rnacentral:rRNA from 1 species